rnacentral:rRNA from 1 species
UACGUAGGCAGCAAGCGUUGUUCGGAGUUACUGGGCGUAAAGGGUGCGUAGGCGGCUUUUUAAGUUUGGUGUGAAAUCUCCCGGCUCAACUGGGAGGGUGCGCCGAAUACUGAGAGGCUAGAGUGUGGGAGAGGAAAGUGGAAUUCCUGGUGUAGCGGUGAAAUGCGUAGAUAUCGGGAAGAACACCCGUGGCGAAGGCGGCUCUCUGGGACGGUACUGACGCUGAGACGCGAAAGCGUGGGGAGCGAACAGG